GAGUUUGAUCAUGGCUCAGAUUGAACGCUGGCGGCAGGCUUAACACAUGCAAGUCGAACGAUGAUUACUAGCUUGCUAGUAUGAUUAGUGGCGAACGGGUGAGUAAUGCUUAGGAAUCUGCCUAUUAGUGGGGGACAACAUUCCGAAAGGAAUGCUAAUACCGCAUACGUCCUACGGGAGAAAGCAGGGGAUCUUUUGACCUUGCGCUAAUAGAUGAGCCUAAGUCGGAUUAGCUAGUUGGUGGGGUAAAGGCCUACCAAGGCGACGAUCUGUAGCUGGUCUGAGAGGAUGAUCAGCCACACUGGGACUGAGACACGGCCCAGACUCCUACGGGAGGCAGCAGUGGGGAAUAUUGGACAAUGGGCGAAAGCCUGAUCCAGCCAUGCCGCGUGUGUGAAGAAGGCCUUUUGGUUGUAAAGCACUUUAAGUGGGGAGGAAAAGCUAAUAAUUAAUACCUAUUAG
rnacentral:rRNA from 1 species